GACUCUUGGCAAUGGAUCACUGGGCUCCUCCAUUGGUGAAGAUUGCAGCUAGCUGCGAAAAUUAAUGUAAUUUGUAGUACAUUGAUCCUCGACACUUGGAAUGUGCUUGUGGCCCAGGGUUCCUCCAGGGUCUAUGCCUGUCUGAGCAUAG
ensembl:rRNA 5_8S_rRNA 5.8S ribosomal RNA